UGGUCAAGUUAUUAAGGGUGCAGGGCGGAUGCCUUGGCACUAGGAGCCGAUGAAGGACGUGAUAAGCUGCGAUAAGCUUCGGGGAGUUGCACGUAAACUUUGAUCCGAAGAUUUCCGAAUGAGGAAACUCACUUAGAGUAAUGUCUAAGUAUCAUUAAGUGAAUACAUAGCUUAAUGAGGGGAACUCAGGGAACUGAAACAUCUAAGUACCUGAAGGAAGAGAAAGCAAUUCGUUUCCGUAAGUAGCGGCGAGCGAACGCGGAUUAGCCCAAACUAAUAAAGUUUUAUGUAUAGGGGUUGCGGACAGAUCAUAACGAAGAGAUUUCGUAAUUGAAGUGGAUUGGAAAGACACACCACAGAGGGUAAUAGUCAUGAAUGUUAAACGAGAAGACUUUAGAUAUGAUCCAGAGUACCACGGGACACGUGAAACCCUGUGGGAAGCAGGAGGGACCACCCUCCAAGGCUAAAUACUACCUAGUGACCGAUAGCGUAUAGUACCGUGAGGGAAAGGUGAAAAGAACCCCGGGAGGGGAGUGAAAUAGAACCUGAAACCCUGCACUUACAAGCUGUGGAAGCACAUUUCUUGUGUGACCGCGUACUUUUUGUAGAACGGGCCAACGAGUUACGUUAAGUAGCAAGGUUAAGCACUUAAGGUGUGGAGCCGUAGCGAAAGCGAGUUUUAACUGAGCGUUCAGUUACUUGACGUAGACCCGAAACCGGGCGACCUACCCAUGAGCAGGAUGAAGCGAAAGGAAAAUUUCGUGGAGGUCCGAACCCACGAGCGUUGAAAAGCUCGGGGAUGACUUGUGGGUAGCGGUGAAAUUCCAAUCGAGCCCGGAGAUAGCUGGUUCUCCCCGAAAUAGCUUUAGGGCUAGCCUCAAGGUGAGAGAUACGGAGGUAGAGCACUGAAUGUCCUAGGGGGUAUUGCACCUACCGAAGACUAUCAAACUCCGAAUGCCGUCAUCUUAUACUUGGGAGUCAGACUGUGGGUGAUAAGAUUCAUAGUCGAAAGGGCAACAGCCCAGAUCGUCAGCUAAGGUCCCUAAAUGUAAGUUAAGUGGUAAAGGAUGUGGGAUUGCACAGACAACCAGGAUGUUGGCUUAGAAGCAGCCACUCAUUCAAAGAGUGCGUAAUAGCUCACUGGUCGAGUGAUCCUGCGCCGAAGAUUUCCGGGGCUAAAACUUACUACCGAAGCUACGGCAUCAGUAAUCAUUAAGUUGGG
rnacentral:rRNA from 1 species